GAUGAACGCUAGCGAUAGGCUUAACACAUGCAAGUCGAGGGGCAGCAUGGUCUUAGCUUGCUAAGACUGAUGGCGACCGGCGCACGGGUGCGUAACGCGUAUGCAACUUGCCUCACAGAGGGGGAAACCCCUCGAAAAACCGACUAAUACCCCCUUCACCCUAUUUUUGGCCUCCCAGGGAGAGGAAAUUAAAUUUGCCUUUAGAUAAGCAUGCGUUCCAUUAGCUAGUUGGUGAGGUAACGGCUCACCAAGGCGACGAUGGGUAGGGGAACUGAGAGGUUGAACCCCCACACUGGUACUGAGACACGGACCAGACUCCUACGGGAGGCAGCAGUGAGGAAUAUUGGUCAAUGGGCGAGGGCCUGAACCAGCCAAGUCGCGUGAAGGAUGACUGUCUUAUGGAUUGUAAACUUCUUUUGUAGGGGAAUAAAGAGGGGAACGUGUGCCCCAGUGAAUGUACCCUACGAAUAAGCAUCGGCUAACUCCGUG
rnacentral:rRNA from 1 species